GCGGAGGAAAAGAAACUAACAAGGAUUCCCCUAGUAACUGCGAGUGAAGCGGGAAAAGCUCAAAUUUAAAAUC
rnacentral:rRNA from 1 species